rnacentral:lncRNA from 1 species
UCAGAAUAUAAGCAGGGAUAAGCAGGAAAUUACUCUCUUCUGCUUCCUCAUUCUCUCUUCUCUGGAAGCCUCCAUGUGAUCCCAACAAGAGAGGAUGCUUGCCGACAGCAUCCUCCAUCAGAUAAGUCUAUAAAAUAUAUAGAGUAAUAAAUAUGGUUAAUACUUAUGACAGAGAUAGCAGAUAAAAAAAUCCUAGUCAUUGGCCAGCAACAUUGUAAAUAAUAUCAAUCUCUGUGUGUUAUUUCAGGUGCCCACGUGGCAGUGGGUCUCGGGUGGCUUACUGGAAAGAUUUAUUGGUACAUGAGUGUGCUACCCUUUUAAAAGUAAAGUUGAUUCACAUUUGUGAUUGACUCUUUUAACUCUUUAUUUAAAAAUUUUAAGUGUGUAGGUCUGGUGAGGAUAUCAUCUGGCUAAGACUUUUUACUCCUUCAUAAACUAUGAGCUAAAAUUCCCUUCAGGACAAGAGAAGCAGUGUCAACAGCUAACUUUUGCCUGAAGGAAGAUGAAGCAAACACUAAUUUCUUCUGGGCCUAAGGAAGUAAUGUGAAUGAGACCAGUGGCCUGAAUGGAUCCCAACUGUUUUAUUGUUGUCUUCUUUUCCUGAACUGCCAGAAUCUAAGCCACUUGAUUUUUUCCUUAUGGAAUCAAAGUUUCACUCCAGGAUUAAAAUCGACAUCCUUGUAAUUUGGUAAUGAAGUGCUGUGACCCCAAUAUGUACAGUGGUUCCACGUGUAUUUUCUGACAGAAGUGGGAGAGGUAAGG